AUUGAACGCUGGCGGCAGGCCUAACACAUGCACGUCGAGCGAGCGGCGGACGGGUGAGUAAUGUCUGGGAAUCUGCCUGAUAGAGGGGGAUAACUACUGGAAACGGUAGCUAAUACCGCAUACCAUCGGAUGUGCCCAUAUGGGAUUAGCUAGUAGGUGGGGUAAUGGCUCACCUAGGCGACGAUCCCUAGCUGGUCUGAGAGGAUGACCAGCCAAACUGGAACUGAGACACGGCCCAGACUCCUACGGGAGGCAGCAGUGGGGAAUAUUGCACAAUGGGCGCAAGCCUGAUGCAGCCAUGCCGCGUGUAUGAAGAAGGCCUUCGGGUUGUAAAGCACUUUCAGCGAGGAGGCGUUACCCGCAGAAGAAGCACCGGCUAACUCCGUGCCAGCAGCCGCGGUAAUAC
rnacentral:rRNA from 1 species